rnacentral:piRNA from 1 species
UGUAAUUGUUAUCUUCCAGAAAAAUGUGACCU